ACGCGGGCAUUGUGAAGAAGGAACACAUCAAGAUUCAUGGUUUCUGAGCAACUGUCAGCUCCGUAUCAGAAUCUACAUGCAAAUCAGCUAUAUAUAUUGGUGGUGCAGUAUAUUUAGUUGUGUGCUAGCGCUAGCAGGCGCCACGCUUGCGCGUUCUGAGUAUACACAAAAUCUAGCAUAGCCACCUCUCCGCGUGUGUGUAUGCUUACUACCGUUGUGUUGAAGCUUUGUAAGGAGCACCAUCGCUAGAUGGUUUGUUACCCUCUCCCAUCAAGGUUGAAUAAUAAUAUAUGCUUUCUGAAN
rnacentral:lncRNA from 1 species